rnacentral:rRNA from 1 species
AGGGAAUCUUCCGCAAUGGGCGAAAGCCUGACGGAGCAACGCCGCGUGAGUGAUGAAGAUCUUCGGAUCGUAAAACUCUGUUAUUAGGGAAGAACAUAUGUGUAAGUAACUGUGCACAUCUUGACGGUACCUAAUCAGAAAGCCACGGCUAACUACGUGCCAGCAGCCGCGGUAAUACGUAGGUGGCAAGCGUUAUCCGGAAUUAUUGGGCGUAAAGCGCGCGUAGGCGGUUUUUUAAGUCUGAUGUGAAAGCCCACGGCUCAACCGUGGAGGGUCAUUGGAAACUGGAAAACUUGAGUGCAGAAGAGGAAAGUGGAAUUCCAUGUGUAGCGGUGAAAUGCGCAGAGAUAUGGAGGAACACCAGUGGCGAAGGCGACUUUCUGGUCUGUAACUGACGCUGAUGUGCGAAAGCGUGGGGAUCAAACAGGAUUAGAUACCCUGGUAGUCCACGCCGUAAACGAUGAGUGCUAAGUGUUAGGGGGUUUCCGCCCCUUAGUGCUGCAGCUAACGCAUUAAGCACUCCGCCUGGGGAGUACGACCGCAAGGUUG